GACAGAGGGUGCAAACGUUGUUCGGAUUUACUGGGCGUAAAGCGCGUGUAGGCGGCUUGGCAAGUUGGAUGUGAAAGCCCACGGCUCAACCGUGGAAGCGCAUCCAAAACUGCUUCGCUCGAGUCUCGGAGAGGAAGGUGGAAUGCUUGGUGUAGAGGUGAAAUUCUUAGAUAUGACACAGAACACCAAUUGCGAAGGCAGCUCGCUAAACUGUAACUGACGCUGAGGCACGAAAGCGUGGGGAUCAAACGGG
rnacentral:rRNA from 1 species